rnacentral:rRNA from 1 species
UACGAAGGGGGCUAGCGUUGUUCGGAAUUACUGGGCGUAAAGCGUGCGCAGGCGGCCAUCCAAGUCAGUGGUGAAAGCCCGGAGCUCAACUCCGGAAUUGCCAUUGAAACUGUUCGGCUCGAGUACGAGAGAGGUGAGUGGAAUUCCCAGUGUAGAGGUGAAAUUCGUAGAUAUUGGGAAGAACACCGGUGGCGAAGGCGGCUCACUGGCUCGUUACUGACGCUCAUGCACGACAGCGUGGGGAUCAAACAGG